GACGAACGCUGGCGGCGUGCUUAACACAUGCAAGUCGAACGGAAAGGCCCUGCUUUUGUGGGGUGCUCGAGUGGCGAACGGGUGAGUAACACGUGAGUAACCUGCCCUUGACUUUGGGAUAACUUCAGGAAACUGGGGCUAAUACCGGAUAGGAGCUCCUGCUGCAUGGUGGGGGUUGGAAAGUUUCGGCGGUUGGGGAUGGACUCGCGGCUUAUCAGCUUGUUGGUGGGGUAGUGGCUUACCAAGGCUUUGACGGGUAGCCGGCCUGAGAGGGUGAACGGCCACAUGGGGACUGAGAGACGGCCCAGACUCCUACGGGAGGCAGCAGUGGGGAAUAUUGUACAAUGGGCGGAAGUCUGAUGCAGAAACGCCGCGUGCGGGAUGACGGCCUGCGGGUUGUAAACCGCUUUCGCCUGUGACGAAGCGUGAGUGACGGUAAUGGGUAAAGAAGCACCGGCUAACUACGUG
rnacentral:rRNA from 1 species